UGCUCUGUUUGUAUUUACAGGUUGGACUGUAAUUUGUGAAGAUACUGGAUGACAGGUCUUUGUCUGCCUGGCUGUUAAAAAGACAAGGUUGGCAUUCAAAAGGUGUCUCAUCAGACCCAUCAGGCGGAUGGAUGGAAGCACCACUGGUCCAAGAACGUGGCCUCAGUGUGAUGAUUCAAGCAUUUGAGCACUCACUUUAUGCGAUACAUUUACACUGAGAUGGUGAAAGAGGAAGUCUGAGGUGAGCUUCUGAGGAAGACGGUUCUGCAAAGGUAAAGGUUGCAGUGUAUUCUGCAUUCUGUAUUCUGCAUUCUGUAUUCUGCAUUCUGUAUUCUGCAUUCUGAAAAUGUUAAAGAAGGAAUUUGAAGGAGCUGGACACACUAAACUUCUAAUACAGUGUGUCUCCUUGUCAAGUGCCUCUAGCAACCCAAAUAUUUAAUUGUUCUCAGUUACCAAACUCCUUAACUGUCUGCACUGAAGUCAUGAGAAAAUUUAUAGAACUGCCUCUGUGUAAUGUGAUUAUUAAAAGAUCUGACUGCAUCUGGAAAAACAACUGCAGAUCAAGCUUUUCUUCCUAUUCAAAAACUGCUUGCUGAAGGACCUUCCAGCUCUCUGUCAUCAUUUGGCAUUCUCAGUGUUUUUCACGACAGGAACAAUGCCUGUUGUGUUAGAUGGUCUGUCUGACAUCCCUAAGCUUCAUGACAGAGGUGAAUUGAAAGUUCUCCACACAAGCAUUUAAUUCUCUGUUCCAAAGAGCAGAAGAAGUUCCAUGGACUGUACCCAAAACAGCAGAGACUUCAGGUAUGGUGGCAACUUUCUUCAGGUAGGAACUAUUAAAAUGAGAUUCAGAACAAAGAUCAUAAUCCUUUGCCUACCUCUUGUGUGCAAACCAAGUGCAAGCUUACAUGUAAUAAAUACACAGUUGGACUGAAUGACCCUAAAAUUAUUUUCCAGCCUAAAGUAUUCCAUGAUUCUAUGAUAGAAUAGCCAAUGGAAGAGAUAGGGAACAUCAGUGGCAGAAAUGGGAUGCCUGCAGGAGCGCUUCUUUUCUUUCCCUGAGAAAUCUUGAUUCUCUUUAGCCAGUUAAUUUGGAAAGUGGGAGCUCAAGAAGAUCUUUAAUUUAGCACUGGCAGUAAUUCCCACCGGCAGCCUAAUCCCAACGCUCACAUCAGAUCCAGGUGCUCAGAUUAGGAGGUUAGACCCCCCCAUGGCAUCAGUGGACAGGGAGAUAUCCUGCAGAGCCUGUAGAAAGUGGGACCUUACCUCAUCUUGAAGGAAUCUUUGCCCUGAGGACAAGAGGAAUUUGGCGGGACUCUUGCCACGUGUAGGUGGUAUGAAAACUGAAUUACGGGGCAAGGCAACUGCAGUGAAAACACACUCACUGAAGGCUGCAUUAAUAUAAUUUUGAAUAACGAUUAUGUGAGAGGAAACCAAUUUGCUUUUAGAUAUCCCACAAACAGAAAAAAUAUCAGAUAAACUAUUCAUUGUGAAUUAUUUGCAUAGACCGAUAGGAACUCAUUAAACACUGAAAGACUGAUUUGCAAGAAAGAAAUGGAGAAAGUAUUUAAUCUGGUAUUUCUUGUCUCAUAAGCUUCCAAUAAUUGUCUAUCCAGCAAAUUAAUUUGUCUCUUUCUUCUUCUGUUAUUCUGUACUUCAUGGACCCUUCUUACUGAGUGUUUUACAGCAGAGAUUUUCUGUGAGCUAAAGAGCUUGAAUUUCACAGAUAUGUAUUAAAGUGCAUCGGGAAACAGUAGAAGACAUCACAUUUUCUCCACUUAUUGUGGCUGAAUUGCUACAAAUUUUAAAUUACCAUACUUAAAAGUAUUAGCUACAGAUACAUAAAUCUCUCAUUUUUCUGAACACAUCCCAGCCUCUACAGGCCAGGAAUCCAGCUUUUAUGCUAAGUAACAUGACAAGCAAUGCAAGGUGUCUCUGUUUCUGAAUAUACAAUCUGAGCCAAUUUAAAGGGACAUAGCUUGGGGCAAGCUAAAUUGCAAUACCAUACUUGAGCUGGAAAACACUGGAUUUUUGGAAAAAAGGGGCUGAAUCAGUAUCUAGGUUGUUGCAAGCAGGUUUUUUUGUGUAACCUCUUCUUGAAACCCUGCUAAACAUGGUCCCACAGCCAGCCUAGGCAUAUUCCCAGUGCAUGCCUAUUUUUGGAAUUAGGAUAUACAAAUUGAAUUAUAUUUGCUGCAAAUUAAACUGAUUGUGUCUUGUCCCACCUUCAGGGGACCCAAGAAACAUUUGAUACUUGUUCUUAUAUAUCCUUUUCAUACAGAAAAGUGUUACUGUGAUUCUCAAAUUUAUCUCUCCUAGAAUAAGCAGACUUUCUUGAAGACAGUGCAUUUUUCUGACUCCUCAUUCUCAUUUAAUUCCGUACUCUUUCCAAGGGUCAUGCCCACAGUGUUCAGUUGAAGAUUCAUCUCCUCUAAGGAGAACAGAAAAAAAUGUCUUCCAUGUCUUCUCUAUGUGAUUCUUUUAAUAAAUUGGGUAAGGAUUAGAUGUGGUGGCUUUGUAGCGUUGCCACAGUUUUUAUUCACUGUGAAGCAGUGACCAAGUGCAAUCUCUGAUGCUCUUCUGCAAAACUGUUGUUUUAUCAGUUUUUCCAUACUUUGUGUUUGCACCACUGAUUUCUCUUUCCCCAUGGACUUGGCUUUUCUGAAUCUCUUAUAGUUGAUUUCACAUCAUUCUUUCUUUCAAUGGUCUGUCUGAGUGUUUUUUGACUCUGUUCUCAGCCUUCAGAAUUCUGCAGUUCUUCCCAACUCAGGCAGACAGUGUUUUAUUAAUAUAUUCCUUUGUGCACUAUCCAAGCUGGUAAUAGUGAAAACAUUGAAUGGAGCUGGCCCUGAAUAGCCCAUGUAGGAUCUUCUCCUCGUGUGUCUGCUAAGAGUACCACUGAGUGCACCAAAUAUGAGCAUACACACGCAUGCAAAUGUAGAGAUGGAUUUGAAAUUUGACCCGAUAAUUCCUAUUGUACCACAAUUACCCUGGGAUUUGAACACAAUUAAAUUUCAGAAACACUUUUGUUUUUUCAAAAUAGUGCCAUUAGACAUUGUAAUUGUUUUGUUUUCAAAGCACAGACCAAAACUGCUACCACAAAACCCACUGUGAUUCUGUAACUGUUGUAAAAAACAAUGACAUGCCCUCUCCUAACACUAAACACUAAACUCACAGUACAUAUUUUGUAAAAAUUAGUAGCAUGCUUGGCUUUUGUUCCCUCUGCAGUAUUUUGGAUAUCCAUCAUUAGAUCACCUUUCUUGUGGUGUAUUGAGGAAAGGAGAAAAACGAUCAUUUUGUCAGAAUUGUGGAUUAUUUUCCUUUGCCAAUGGAAGUCAUGUUGGCUUAGGCCAUAGGGGAAUGGACUGAGAUCAGCCUUUUGCACAGGAAUCUCUUAUGUGCAUGUCUGUGAGAAAAAUGAGGAUGAGAAGCAAGGAGAGAGAAGGAGGGUGGCAUUGCAGGAGGGCAAGGUGCCAGAGAAUCUUCCUCUGAAGGAAGACAGUGAUCUUGAAAUGUGUGUUGUCUCUUUCAGAAGAGAGGGAACAGUCCUGCUGGAGGUGUGGAAAGCAGAGCCUUUGUGGCACAGAGACUUGGUGGGAUAACCCACCGGUCCUUGGGCAGACUGGCAGGACCUGGCUGCCUGCAGAGCUCUGUCACCUCCCUGUUUUGAGGGCAUGCCAUUUCUCCAUUUGUAAGCGGAAGACCUUUUUCCCCUUUCUUUUUCCCCCAGACUUUGUAGCUGAGGGAGGAGCCCAGGAAUUAGAAACCCUUUGGUAUUUCAUUACUGGCACAUUGCUGGAAAAAUGCAGUCCUUUAGGCAGUGACCCAGUUAAGGGUCCUACUUCUGCAGAAAUUUGGUUGCUCCCACCUAUGCCUAGUGAGCCAUUCCUUGUCUCUCCCACACUCUCUGGAAGGUUCUAUCCCUCUCUUUGCAGGUAUAAAUCAAUACAAACAAGAACUGCAUAUUCCUUGCUAGUCAUUGCCUAGUUCCCCAGGCACUGACCGAGUCAUUGCCUUCCCAUCAGCCUCAACGGGAAGUUGCAUAAUGCGGCAGACACACAAUGGAGAAAGGGAUAUUUUUAAAUGUGUGCUUUAUUUUUAUUUUUUUUUAACCUGUAUAAAUAAAUACAAAAUGACAAAGAGGUUCAUGUUUACUAAACAUUGCAUUUCAUUGUAUGACAUUACACAGUGUGUGUCACAAUAGCUUACUUUGUAAUUGUGUCCUUUUAGCUGUUGGUGCAUAAUUCUAUCAC